UGUUUUUGUUUAUAAAGAAUAUUUGGAGUUAAAUGUAAAAGAUCAAGACAGUAAUCCAACAACACAAGUUUUCCACACUAGAUACAAAAACAAUUAGGUCAACAAUGUAUGACAAGCUCAACACUACACCGAAGAUUGAAGUAUUACAGAAAAAAGAUCAAGAACUUAAUGGACAGAAAGCAUGAACAACUUAAAGAUGAGAACAGAAUUGUCCCUAGGAAAUUUUGCAAUUUUAUCGGGCCAUGAAACCUGCACAACAUACACAGUUUUUGAAAGAUAACAAGAUUUUGUCCAUCUCUCUACAAGAUGCAAACAAGAAAAACUCUUUCAAGUCUGGCAAGAGGUAAUCACAGGUUUCCAUGGGUUCUUUUUGAAUACCAAAAAAGAAGGAUAGCCGAUUUAAAAAGAAGCAAUACACACAAGCUUCAACAUUUUGUGUUGUCUCCCAUGGAUAUGCAGAGUGUCACUAAUGUACCAGGCAUUGGUCCUACUUAUGCUGGAAGACUAGCACAACAAGGUAUUACCCAUGUAUCCAAGCCAAAUGUAUGUGAUUUAUGUACAAUGUCAGAGGAACCAAAGAAAGUUUGUUAAUCAGCUUAAUCAACUAACUGGAGGACAUCAAAACCACAUGAUCAUUACAUACAAUGGUUUGGAUGAAUGGCACAAACAGAGAGUUUUCUGAUAUAUGUACUUAUAAGUUUAUAGAGCAUUUUAUGAGUUAAACUGAUUUUACAUUUUCUAUAUAUUUUGCUAUUAUUGACAUUUCUAUAAAUUUUGCUAUUAUUUACAUAUCUGUUUUAUAAUGUUCAAAAUCUCACUCAGAUAAUUUAUUGUGAAUAUUAAUUUUAUAUUAUAAUCUGUUAUCACAGAGAUAUGUCUCGCCUUUUUGUAAUUUUAAUAAUACAAAUGUUGAAAUUAAAAUAGCAAUACUUUAACAUGUAAGUUAUGCAAAUAUUCAAAGUUGAUGAACCAUGACUGAAGGUACAUGGCUAAACAAUCUCCAUGGAAUGAGAUGUGCCAAUGCUUAUACAACUGCAUACCAAAUACCAUUGACUUAUUAUAAGACGUUCCCUUUAAACAAACCUAAACACAAACAUUAACUUGUAAACUAUGUAAAAGUUUCAAAGUCAAUGUACCAUGAUCAGGGGUGGGGCUAUAUAAUCUCCAUGGAAACGAUAAUUGCA